AAUCAACGCUGGCGGCGUGCCUAACACAUGCAAGUCGAACGCGAAAGGGGCUUCGGCCCUGAGUAGAGUGGCGUCCGGGUGAGUAACGCGUGGGUAAUCUACCUUCGGGUGGGAAGUAACCAGUCGAAAGAUUGGCUAAUACCGCAUAAUGCAGCGGCACGACAUCGUGACAGUUGUUAAAGGAGCAAUCCGCCUGAAGAGGAGCCUGCGUCUGAUUAGC
rnacentral:rRNA from 1 species